UUAGAAAAGUAGGAAUCGAACCUACACCUGGGGGAUCAAAACCCCCUGCAAUUCCAUUUUACCACUUUCUA
rnacentral:tRNA from 1 species